CGCAGGGGCUUGAGUAUUUACCCGGCUGUGGUAACGUCGGGUUCUGCGUCGGUGACGCCAAAGCCUUCACAAACCCCGCCCUUUGGGCGGGGUUUUGCUUUAUC
rfam:Pseudomonas putida S11 PPS11_c45, whole genome shotgun sequence.